AGAGAGAGUCUCGUCAACUGCAUUGGCAAUGGCAAUGGCAAUGGAAGCUCUGCUAAGACUUGUCUUUCUCUCCUUCUUCCUUCUUUCAAUUGCAUACUCUUCUCCUUCUCAACACAUUCAGAUCACCAAUGCAGAACGCAGAAUUGAUUUGAGUUCUCACAUUAUCAAGGUGUACCUGACAUUGAAGGUUGAAAAUUCAGGGACAUCUCCUGCUUCAGAAGUACAUCUUGCUUUUUCCCCCACUGAAGUUGAACAUUUAGCAAUUUUCAAAGCUGCUGCAACUUCUGGGAAGAAGAAGAAGAAAACUUAUGUCCCUCUUGAUGUCAAAUCUGCUGAGCUACCAGAUGGACCAAAUGGAACUAAGUUUUUCUCUAUAACUCUGUUAACUCCACUACGUAAAGGUGAAACCACAACACUAGAGGUGCUUUACAUAUUGACCCAUUCUCUGGAACCUUUCCCAGUAGAAAUAAGUCAAUCAGAGUCACAAUUAGUCUAUUUCCAUGAUAGUGCAAUAUUAUUGUCCCCCUAUCAUGUCAAGCAACAGACAACUUUCAUUAAGACACCAAGUACUCGGGUAGAAUCAUUCACGGUAGUGGAGCCCACUAAACGUGCUGGUACAGAGCUGAAAUAUGGGCCAUAUGACAAUUAUCACCCGUAUUCAUAUUCUCCUGUACUUGUUCAUUUUGAAAAUAACAAUCCGUUUGCUGUUGUUGAGGAGCUUGAACGAGAAAUCGAAAUAUCUCACUGGGGAAGCAUACAAGUCACAGAGCAAUAUAGGCUGGCCCAUGCUGGUGCUCGACAUAAAGGCGUUUUUUCAAGGGUUGAAUAUCAAACUAGACCUGGUGGUACUGGUGUUUCUUCAUUUAAACAUCUUCUAGCAAAACUACCCCCUAGGGUUCACUCAGUAUAUUACCGGGAUGGAAUAGGGAAUAUUUCCUCUUCACAUCUGCGUACAGAGUCGCGGAAGUCAGAACUUGAAAUUGAACCUCGUUAUCCUCUAUUUGGAGGCUGGAAAGCAACCUUUGUCAUUGGUUAUGGGCUACCAUUGCAAGACUUCCUUUUUGAGUCUCCAGAUGGAAAAAGAUACCUCAAUUUUACUUUUGGUUGCCCUCUUGUUGAGACAGUGGUUGACAAGUUGAUUGUAAAAGUAAGUUGUGCUGCCAGAGGGGUCCAAAGAUCCCACAGCCGUGAUUCCUUUUGAAGUAGAGCAACAUCUAGAGACCAAGUAUUCAUAUCUUGAUGUUGUCGGCAGGACUGUAGUAGUUCUAGAAAAGAGAAAUGCAGUUCCUGAGCAUAAUACUCCUUUCCAGGUAUACUACAACUUUAACCCUAUAUUUAUGCUUGCUGAGCCAUUGAUGCUGGCAUCUGCAUUUUUCUUGCUUUUUGUGGCUUCCGUGGCAUAUCUUCACGUUGAUCUAUCCAUACGCAAAUGAUGAACAUCUAGCUAGUUUACGAAAAGGUAUGUGUUAAAUCCCCCCUUUCAACUAAUUUUUAUGAUUAAGAGUUAAAACAUUAUCUUUCGUCUUUGCUCUACGCUUUUAAGUGUUUUGGCUUGUUCAACAGGCAGUGACUGAGCAGAUCCAAUGGUUCUUAUUUGAGAAGGUUAUAUAGCAUUUUGGCAGCAUUGUGUGGAAUUAAGAGGACAAAUUAUAAUUAUAGAUUUGCUUGUUUGUACGAUUUUCCCCUGGCAAUUCUAUCUUAUGCCAUUCAUUCAAAUAACUUUCAACCAUUUUAAAAACAAAGGAUAUGUUAGUUAAGGCCAUCAUCCUAAAGGCACGUAAUGCUAAGAAACUUCUAAGGUCUUCCUUUGUAGGUGUUAGAAAUAUUUCAAUGUGAUACUUAGUAAUCAAUACCUGAAAUGAAAAACUUUUUUGGUGAGGGGAACUUUAAAGUAAUUUUUCCUAGUUUUGCGUUAUGGCUAAACUAUUGCAAAUUUAUUAUUUAAUAAGAUAUUCUUAUAAGUGAAUAAUAAUGUUGUCGAGUGCGAAAUUGGAAAGAGAAAUAGCCAUUUGGUCAUAAAUUUUGCCUUCUAUUUGAAUGGCAUCUUGGUUAGAAUUUUACGUUAUUAAAUUUAUGCUUGGGCAUUGUUUCCUCUUAAACACUCCUAAAAUUUCAUAAGUCUGAAAACGUGUUCUUUAAUAAUAGACUUAUUGUUGCGACAUCCAAUAUUUAAUAAUGCGAAUUAGCAAAGAAAACGAAUAUCAUGUAGAUUUUUUUUUUUAAAAUAUCUUAUCUUUCAGUGAUAAUGAGCUAGAGGAAAAUGCCACCUCUUUGGAGAGAGAGAAAAAAAAAAUGGAACUGUCAAAAUUUACAUUAUUUCCCAAUUUUUUUUUGUUCCAUAAAGUUCUCCCAGUUUGAAAAUUUGUAGAACGCAAAAUAACAUUUCUUGGGUUCUCUUAAGAUUUGAGAUGAAGAAAGAAAAAGAAAACUAGAAGUAAAAGUUCUUUAAAUUAGCUUUGAAAAACACCUUCUUUUUUUGGUUAAGUUUUCUUCAUUAAUUUUUUAAAAGUUUAUUAAAUUUUUGGUCUAAAAGUUUAUUUUCUUAAGCUAUGACAUGUAAGUAAUAUUUAUCUAGAAAGAAAUGCCCAAGCCCAACCCUCAUGGAUUAAAAGUGAAAGCGCACGGUUUUGAUGGUAAUAAUUCAAGCUCUUUCAUAGAGUCGAGAAGAAAAAAAAAAUAGAGCUCUUUAUCUGCAAGCAACAUUGAUAAGCUUGGAACGGAAGAAGCUGACAAGCUUUUCGUCAUCUUCUUGAGCAAGCUAUAUUCAAACCCAGACAGUGCUUCUUCCACACUUGUUACGGAACCAAUCUAAGAACCUCUUCAUCUUAUAGGUAAAGAGUUUUCAGGGAUUGUUUAAAAGGGAAUUUUUGAAAGGCAAGGGAGGGGCUGAUAAAUUUAUUAUUUUUAAAUUAAAUACUAGUCAGAAAUUCGUUGUGACAUAUUUUAUUGAUAAUAUUUACUAUUAAAAUUUUUCAACAACCAUAAUCUUCUUUUGUCAAAUUUUUAACCUUCUUUUUGGGUUUUAUAGCAUUACUUUACUUUUUU